GAUGAAGAACGCAGCGAAAUGCGAUAAGUAGUGUGAAUUGCAGAAUUCAGUGAAUCAUCGAAUCUUUGAACGCACAUUGCGCCCCUUGGUAUCCCGAGGGGCAUGCCUGUUCGAGCGUCAUUUCACCACUCAAGCCUGGCUUGGUGUUGGGCGACGUCCCCUUUGGGGACGCGCCUCGAAACGCUCGGCGGCGUGGCACCGGCUUUAAGCGUAGCAGAAUCUUUCGCUUUGGAAGUCGGGGCCCCGUCUGCCGGAAGACCUACUCGCAAGGUUGACCUCGGAUCAGGUAGGAAGACCCGCUGAACUUAAGCAUAUCAAUAAGCGGAGGA
rnacentral:misc_RNA from 1 species